UACGAAGGGUGCAACCGUUGCUCGGAAUCAUUGGGCGUAAAGCGCACGUAGGCGGCUUUGCAAGUCGGAUGUGAAAUCCCUCGGCUCAACCAAGGAAGUGCAUCCGAAACUGCAGAGCUUGAGUACUUAAGAGGAUCGCGGAAUUCCCGGUGUAGAGGUGAAAUUCGUAGAUAUCGGGAGGAACACCAGUGGCAAAGGCGGCGAUCUGGGUGGAUACUGACGCUGAGGUGCGAAAGCGUGGGGAGCAAACAGG
rnacentral:rRNA from 1 species